UUCAAAUGGGAAAAGAAAUAUGUCUGGAGACUAUCUGAUGCUGCUGUGAGUUUCUAGCUGGUGUGAUUUCUCUAGUACUAAUUUCUGAAUUCAAUAUAGCUAGGCCCCCUGUCAGCAGGCAAAUAACAUCUUUAUGAGACUUUCAAUCCAGUUUCUAAUUUAUAAUGUUUUUCAAGAAAGAAACUGGCAGAGAGAGUCAGCUAUAUUUUGACCUUGCUUAUACUGAAUGUUUGUAACUAUAGUGAAUUUGAGAUCAUCCUGAUGAGCAGGAAGAUUUAUUAUCUGUUCAGUGAGAAUUCCUAGGCUGAGCUUUCUCUGCCAAUAAACCUUGAUAUUCAUCUUGCCUAAUUCUUUGUGAAAUUAAUGCAGAAAAUUAUUAAGGCAAAAAAGAUCGUUUGACUCACUGUAAGUUUAUAAUGAGUGAUACAGGAUGACGUAAUUUGAAGGGGGUAGAAACCAUUCUGUUCUAUGGUGGUUUUCCUGGAUUCCAUGACAAAGGAGUGAAGUAGAAUGCUGGGCCCAGGAUAGGUACAUGGUUUUGGCAAUGGCCAAUGAAGUUUUCAUUCUGCUUCAGAUGGAGCUGUCCUGAUGUGAAAUUUUAUUUUUGAGCAAUGUAUUACAGCAUGAACAACAGUGCUAAAAAUAUAGCCGCUGUUAAAAAUAUAGACACUGUUGUGUGCAGAAGCCUCAUUAGGACAAAAUUUUGUUAGCUAAGUGUGUCUGGAGAGGAGUCCCAGAGACUCUCUGGACCCCACAGGACUGUCCAGAAAAAGGAACCAUAAACCUGUCUUUAAAAAGAUAUAUUUGAAAAAGAGAAAUAGAAGACAGAGAUGUAACUGUCACUGGAAACCAUGGCAACAGGUGGGGAAAUCUCAAAAGAGCAGAGAAUGCAGGAACUUGUUUUAAGACUAAAAUGUAUUAAUCUCUUUUCUACGAACUCCCUGUCAUCUAGGGAACAUCCUUCUGCAGCCCGCAAAUGUUCACAUUGUGGAAUGUUUUGGAAACAUGUUAAUUUACUUGAAAGAUUUCAGACAUGUAAUUAUGAGGAGGUAUCUACACAGAGCAGCUGCACUGGGGUGAAGAUGUACAGACAGAGCAAAUGAGCCCCAAAUGUGCUUUACAAAGCUCCAUGCUAAUAGAUCAUAAGAGUACCAGACGUGUCCCUGAAAGGGGAAUACAGAAUCCUCUGGGGUCAGGGAACCCUGUCCGUGUGUCCACGCCAGGUUGGUGGGUGACAGGACACAAGGGUACCCAGUUUGUGCACACGGUGGUUUCUUUGCACUGCCUCUGACUCCAGCUGCUGGUGACAGUGUGGGGAAACUUAAGUGCCUCCCUGAGAUCUCUCAAGUUUAAGGAAAUUGAUUAUUAAUCAUCCAUUUAAUUCUACUCAUCUUCCUCAUUAUUAUAGCAGGGCUAAAUGAUCAUGUUUUAAUUUAUGGAGCUGUGUGUAACAUUUGUCAGUGUCUUGCUGCUUUUACUCUCAGAAAUGUGACACCACAAUCUUCUUUGCUGGUAAUAUUUUGAAACCAUGUUACAUAUCAGAACUAAGCACGAAGUCUCUGUACUUUUUAGUGGGAUAAAUGAUCUGUCUUGGAAUUUUUUGUAUAAAGAUGAUGAGACAUGUUUCUCAAAACAUAUGAACACCAUAAUCCUAGAUCUCUGGUUUAUAUGCUUUUGAAAGAUUUAAUAUAACACUGAAAACAAAAGCAUUUAAAAGAGAAUGAGGCAAAGUCAAUAUAUGCACUUGCACAUAGUUUUCUUUUUUAUCCCCUAUAUUACAGAAAACCUCCAGCAUUAUUAAGAAAUUGUUUAACUUCUUAAAAUGCGUCAAAAUUAUAGAUUGAUGGACGAAAAGUCCAAAUAUUUGGACAGAAAAAAUUUCAUUUAAAGAGUCUGAGAAAUCAUAGACAUGAAAUACAAAACGAAGAACAUAUUGCUGGUUUUCUUUUUUCUAGUAAUAUUCAAGCUGAUAGAUCAUCCAAAGAUUUUACCCAAUUUAGGGGGGCCAAAAAUCAUCAUUAUGCAGGAGAUCAUAAGUGUAUUGUGGCAUUUAAGCUUCCAUUUGGGUAUUUUGCUCCUGAUCCAUGUAGAUUCCUAAAUAUCUCAGUGAUUCCAUCCAGAAACCUGUGUUCAUCCAAAAGAAUAACUGAUAUCCUGAUGCUGAUCCAUCAUCAUCCUGGAGGAAUUGCUGUCCCCCAGAUAAUCUGAAUGUAUUCAGAAUCAAGCAAUGUAAAAUUCAUUGCAGUAUGCACGCUUUCAGACAAUUUACGAUUAGAGAGAAGUACUAAUGUGCUUUUAUCUUUUUCAUUUGUUUAUUUGUUUCUUCUCACUGAAGAAAUCUGACUGGAGGUUUUUGAACAGGUUGCCAUUCUUGCGGACUGUAAAUGUUUGUUCCUAGAGAUUUUUGUAAUGCUGCUGUCUCCCUCCAAUCUAACUUUCUUUCUUUACACAGAUAUCCUGUCGUUUGUCUUUGUGCUGAUGGCAGCAAAACAUGUCUAUCAAGUAAACUCCUUUCCCUUAACAUUUAAUUAUCUUUAAGUUGGUGUCGUGAUCAUCAAUUGUUCCAUUGACUGUCUCCUCUAAAACUGACUGAGAAAACGACAUGUCCCAGUUGACAGCCUAUUUUCCAAAAAUAACAGCAUGAAAAAGGAAGAAAGGCUGAUCUUAAACCGUGUUAAGAAGUCCUGCUUAGCCUGCAAUUUAAUAGAAACUCUGUCAUGGGACAUCUGGGAGCUCAGCUGAAUGAUAUUUUUAAAACAGCAGGAGGCCAGUAUGUUUUUCUGACAAUAUCAUCUUUGGAACCAAGAAAAGAGAAAAGGUUGCAUAUUGGAACCUCUCUGGGAAAAAAUAUACCUGAACUCACCUGUAAAAAACCAAAAAGGCUGAUGUCAAACUGUUGUGCUUUUACUGAUAUACUUCAUUAAUGAAUGUACCAGUUAAAGUAACACUGGACUAUCAAAGAAAUUGAGAACAGAACUUUAUUUUCAGGCUUAAUUUUUUCCUUUCAAAUGAAACAUGAAUCUGAGCACAUUUCUGGUUAUUUGUAACCACCUUUGCCUGCAGUAAAGCCUGAAUACACAGAUUGCAGCACGCGCAUACUGUCUUGAAGACUUUGGAGGCAUCUUGAGGGCAAUAAGGUGUCUAUGCAAAUUAUGGUGGAAAACACUAAUAAAAGCCUGUCUUCAAAACAUCA